rnacentral:lncRNA from 1 species
AGAUCUUUGCAUUGUCCCUGGGCUUUAAUGGGUUUUCUCUAUAAAUGUCUAUUCUUCCAAUAGAUAUCUGAUGAGGUGGUACCACACUCAGAUGCACAGAAUAAUUAUUUGUCUCUCUGGAAUCCAGAAUGCAGGAUGAAUACGGCGAUUAGAUUAAAGGUGUCUAAAAUGCCAGAUGCACCUAUCUCAUGCUACUUCAACUGGAUUAUGACCAGUGUUCUCCAGCAGUCUGAAGCUGCUUUUGACGACAGUUCUGGAAAAUGAAAAAGUCGUGGAAUGUGUGGGAACCAAGAGCCUGGGACACUACUAAACUGUCAUAACUUGAAAACUGUGUCAUCCGUGAAAUAACACAUGCCCCAGUUUAUAUUGCACUGUUUAGAUUAAAACAUAAACUGUAGCACAUGGAAAUUUCUUCCUAUGCACUGUGUGCCAGUGCCUAGGAUUAAAGCUGG